AAGUACCGUCAGUUUGGGACGCAUCCCAUGUUUUCUUCCCUAAUAAAAGAAGUUUACGACCCAGAGGGCCUUCAUCCUUCACGCGGCAUGGCUGGUUCAGACUUGCGUCCAUUGACCAAUAUUCCCUACUGCUGCCUCCCG
rnacentral:rRNA from 1 species